GAGUUUGAUCCUGGCUCAGGAUGAACGCUGGCGGCGUGCUUAACACAUGCAAGUCGAACGAAGAUGCCGGAGUGCUUGCACUUUGGCAGACUGAGUGGCGGACGGGUGAGUAACGCGUGGGUAACCUGCCUUAUACAGGGGGAUAACAGUUGGAAACGACUGCUAAUACCGCAUAAGCGCACGGUAUCGCAUGAUACAGUGUGAAAAACUCCGGUGGUAUAAGAUGGACCCGCGUCUGAUUAGCUUGUUGGUGAGGUAACGGCCCACCAAGGCGACGAUCAGUAGCCGGCCUGAGAGGGUGAACGGCCACAUUGGGACUGAGACACGGCCCAAACUCCUACGGGAGGCAGCAGUGGGGAAUAUUGCACAAUGGGGGAAACCCUGAUGCAGCGACGCCGCGUGAGUGAUGAAGUAUUUCGGUAUGUAAAACUCUAUCAGCAGGGAAGAUAAUGACGGUACCUGACUAAGAAGCACCGGCUAAAUACGUGCCAGCAGCCGCGGUAAUAC
rnacentral:rRNA from 1 species